GAUGAACGCUGGCGGCGUGCCUAAUACAUGCAAGUCGAGCGAACGGACGAGAAGCUUGCUUCUCUGAUGUUAGCGGCGGACGGGUGAGUAACACGUGGAUAACCUACCUAUAAGACUGGGAUAACUUCGGGAAACCGGAGCUAAUACCGGAUGAUAUUUUGAACCGCAUGGUUCAAAAGUGAAAGACGGUCUUGCUGUCACUUAUAGAUGGAUCCGCGCUGCAUUAGCUAGUUGGUAAGGUAACGGCUUACCAAGGCAACGAUGCAUAGCCGACCUGAGAGGGGGAUCGGCCACACUAGAACUGAGACACGGUCCAGACUCCUACGGGAGGCAGCAGUAGGGAAUCUUCCGCAAUGGGCGAAAGCCUGACGGAGCAACGCCGCGUGAGUGAUGAAGGUCUUCGGAUCGUAAAACUCUGUUAUUAGGGAAGAACAUAUGUGUAAGUAACUGUGCACAUCUUGACGGUACCUAAUCAGAAAGCCACGGCUAACUACGUG
rnacentral:rRNA from 1 species